UUCCCCUUUCUGGAGUCCUAAACCCAAUGGUGGUGUCAGGAGGAUUUGACCUCUUCGCCCACCUGUGGGGAGGAAAAGACCCCAUCAAAGCCUUCAAGUCCAUGAUGGUCCCCAUGGACUCCCUCCUUGGGCAGAUUUGACUCUUGGGUUCAAAAUUCCUUCCCUUCCUCUUCCCUGGCAUAGACCUCAUACAUCAUCUUCAAAGGACUGUUAACUUUCAAGAACACAUAACAGAGAGGAAAAUCACAUCCCACCUAGACCUUCAUGAUCUCGGUGUCCCUCAUAAAGUCUUCUCACCUUUAAGACUCAGCUGCUAGGGAUAUGCUUACCCUCCCCUUCCAUUCUCCUUCUCCGGCCCUGGGAGUCUCCAGCCUCUCCAGGAGGAGUCCCAAAAAGCCUUGGCCAAGGUCUCCCAUGGCCCUGGUCCUGUCCAGUAUGGAAGCCUCAACUAUCAGGAUUUGGUGAUGACUAAUCUCUGCAGCUCGAACCUGCCACUAGGCAGUGCCUGAUUUUUGGCUCUAGCGGGGAUGCUCCUUUUGACAAUAAAUCAGCUCCCUCCUAUCCCUAUAUAAUGUUUGCAAGAUGGCAAUACAUCCUCUAUGCCUGCUGACUCUCCCUUACAAUGUCUCUUAGACAACCUCAAGACAUUCUCCUUGACACCGGACAUCAAACCCCACAAAUUGAUUAAAUAUAGCACCUAGGAUUGGCCUAAUUAUCCCCUAGACAACCAAAGCAAAUGACCUCCUUUUGGAUCUCUGGAUCCCUCCAUUCUAAGGGGUCUCUACAACUACUCCGAGCAUUCGAAAAAAUGGAUAAACAUCCCCUAUAUCCAAGCUUUCUUCUUGCUCUGAUCCAAUCCUGCUCUCUGCACCUCUUGAAAACAUCUACACAUUCUUCUAGCUUGCAAACCAACCCCCCCAACCACUGACCCCCCAACCUUCUCUUCUUCUGGACUCAUCCACUACUUUGGACCCUGCUGAUGAACCUCCACUCUAUUGCCUGGCUCAAAUAGGUCCUCACCCUUAACCUUCUGCCCCAGCCCCUCCACCAUCACCCCUGCCUCAAUAACAUGCUUUCUCCCUUCCAAUUACUAGAUCAAAAACACCACCACCUUUCCCCAAACUGUUGUCCCCUUGUGUGAGGUAACAGGUACUAAAGGAAUCCCCCAUCCACUCACUCCUCUCUUCUCCUGUCUGUGACAACACCUGGUCCCACCAGGCCCCCUUACUGGCUAACCCAAAGCUCAAAUGAGCUGAGGAGGGCCCUCAGACCCCUAUCUUAUAUCUGGUGAAAAUAGCCUUUAAAGUUGCUUUGUUAUCACUGAAAACAAGGUUACUAAGAAUUUAAAGUCCCUUACAGGCUUUUUGGGAUGUUCGCUCCUGUACUCCCCACUGGUCUAUCUAUUCUACUGCUCAAGUUUUCCUUGCUAGGGAAAGUCCCAAACCCCUUUCCCAUUAUUUUUUUACAUCUCCUUCCUCAUUCUAAAGUCUACCUGAGCUGCUCUCAGCCCCACCUUCCUGUCUCCCCCCACCCCCAGGCCCACAGAAAAGUCUUAACUGACCUUCUCCAGAAAUCUUCACCAAGGCUGAUUUUAGGACUAUCAGCAAAAGAGUCUCUACAACAAAAUUUAAUGUAGAUAAGCUUCCUCUUUUUGUGUUGCUUGGUUUUACUUGGCCACUUGCCUGGAAAAAUCAGAACUCCAGAUGCUAGACACCUCCUCCCUAGUUUUUCACAAAAAUAUGUAAACAAGCCCUCUGGCCUUGAGCUGAGGAUUCAUAGAGGUGUCUCCAUUUCUAAGAUAAGAGAAGUUACCUGUUGGGCUCCAUGGUAACUGCUGGCAGGGGGAGGAAAGAAAGAGAAAAAAAAGCUCUCCCCUUCUCAGGUGUCCUUGAAGGGUUAAAUUGCCCAGAACAGUGAAAAAAAAAAAAACUGCUUUUAUGUGAUCUUCUGCAGACUGUGAACUUCUGAGUCCCUCCUCUUACAUGCUGGGUAUAAAUUUCCAAAACUACCUGAACUUGGGAUUCAGGAGAUUGAUUGAUUGAUUGCAGCCGAAGCUGUGACCCUGAGCCUGGCUGCAGCCAGUUAAAAUUGUUUCCCCAUCUUCAGUGCUAUCUGUGGUGCCUUGCCUUGUCCAUCCCUACAACAUUAUAAUUCUAUAUACUUAAACCUGUUUAUGUUUUCAUGAAAUGGUAAACAGAUGUGAUUAACUGUGUACUGUAAAUAACAAAAUAUUUCUUAUUAAAAUGGAAUAAUUUGCCUAAAUUCAGAAAUUUACACGGAUUAUGUCAAAAUGUGAAUAAAGAAGGGGUUACCAGAUCAAAAAGAGAAAUCAGAAGGUUCUAGGUAUGGAUUUAAUAGAAGGGAAAAAAAGUGUUUCUGGAAUAAGAGAGUCUGUGUGAUUAAGUAAAUAAGAGGGUUUUAGUAGGUGAUAAAGAAGGUCUGUGUAAAUUGGUUAUAUACGGAAGAUUUUGUGUAAAUAAUCUUGAAGGAAUUAAGGAUUAUACAACUGUGGCUAAAAAACAACUGUUAUUUUGUAAUAUUGUAAUAUGUUAUUUCUUUAAGAGCUAAACUUGAUUAAUAUAAAAACAUCGAUGUAAUUGUGGUGCUAUUGCUCUUCUUUGUAUAUUAAAUGCGUUCAUAUUUUCCAGGUAUAUAAGUCUUUAAGGUAGAAGCUUCAAAAGAGAAUUAUAUCAAGCUGGUAUUCUCCAAAAGGUUGCAUGGUAAUUUUAGGCUUAUAAGAAUAACAUAUUGGAGAUUUGUUUAUAUCAUUUAAUGUUCUAUAACUGGACCUUUUAUCAAUAAGAUUAUAUAAGUUCUAUACACUGGGGUACAAUUUAAAUAUAAUAUUAUAUUGUGUUAGCUAAUAUUCAUGUUACCUCGAGCAGCAGUAUAUGUAAACUUCAUAAAAUGAUAUUUAAAAAACAAAGAUCAGCUUCAAUACUAGAACACUUUACCUCAGAUUUAAAAAGAGCCCCACCUUACCUGAGAUAAGGCUUUGCCUCCCAUCUUACUACAUGUCAGAAUGACUCCAAGGUAGGCCAGACUUUAGUUAAAGCCCAGUACUCUUAAUUUAAGAUGGGUGAGACUGACUUGCUAGAUGCUUAAGAUCAAGACUUAAAAUUAAAAUUAAAUUAAAAGGGCCAAUAAAACCAAUAUUUGGCUCUUACCCUCUGAAUCUGGCUGCAAUCAGAUAAACAAGGAACUUCUCUAAAGAGCUUUGCAACUCUGGGCCACAUAAUCUCCCAAUCAGGGAGAGUAAUGAGAACACCGGAGAAUAAAAAGCCAAUCAGUGCACUUGCUGUGAAUAGGAAGGUCAUUGGAGAAAGGAGACAUCCCUGAUGCUUUUAAGGGAAGCCACAUGGUCAAGUAAGUCCUGGACCCAUCCUAGUGCAAAUGGCACUAGCAGAACUAAGAAGCUGCUCUCAAGUCCCAGAUGAGUGACCCUUAUGAGAACUCAGCCUACUCUUAACAAUAGAUAGAAACAAAGUCCAUUUUGACCAGCUUGAUCUUAAACACCUACCCAAAAUAGUUAAACCAAAACACAGUCUUUUGUGGGGGUAAUGAAGGACAAGAAAAGCUAGAAAAGAGGAGACAGCAACUAGGCCAACAGUCUCCAUGGGGAAUGUUCACUCAUGUAUGACCUUGGCUCCUCCCCCUUGCAGGACCCCUAUUAGUUCUCUUUAUGUUUCUCCUAAUAGGACCAUGUUUGUUAAAUUGUCUACAGAAGUUCCUGCAAGAUCAGAUACACAAAUUCACCAACCAGUCAGUCAUUCAAUUACUCCUUCAAGACUACCAAUCCCUGAUACCCAAGAUGAAGACCUAUGACUCAUGACCAACUCCUCCAGCUCCAGAGACUCUGCCCCCAUUUAAAACUCUCCCUGACCCCUUUUCCAAUUUUUACAACCCCUCUUUCACUUCCCAGGAAUGAGAACUACUCUCUAGCAGGUCCUCUCCACAUGUUCUGUCUGCUGUACUGUAUCCCCACAAGGAAGCAUGAAACCUAAACUUCUCACGCAUCAGAUGAGGAGCUACCAGCCAGGUUGUAUAGAAGCCUUCCCUACCUCCAGGGAAAGUGCUGACACUGUCGCCUCCAUCCUCAUUGAGCAGAUCAUUCCCAGGUUUGGACUUUCCACCUCCAUCCAGUCAGAUGAUGGUCAAGCCUUCACUUCUCAGGUUGUUCAAUUAUUCUCCAAAGGCCUCAACAUCACCUGGAGGCUCCACAUCCCCUACGGACUCCAAUCCUAGGGGUACAAACAAUAGCCCUCACUAGAAGUUGGACAGAUGCAGCCACUUGACCUUGGAUUUCUAGCCUUCAGAACGUUUUAGGUGGACACAAUAUCUUUAUUUUAUUUUUAUGUGAUGCUGAGGAUCAAACCCAGUGCCUCAUGCACGCCAGGGACUUGCCAGAAGAGGGUGAAUUUUCUGAUGCUUGUGGGAACCCCAAGAGGGAAUUGACUGUGCCUAGGCAGAGGCCAGGCUGUCUCUCUGUUGAUUAGCAGAAUGCCAAUCCAUCAAGAUUGCUUCAAUAAAGGUUGUACCGGAGCAAAGAUGAAAAAGGUGAAGCCUGGGGAUGGCUCUGGAAGAACACGGGUUAAUGUGCUUGAGCAGCUGUCCCAAACUGCCUGUGACUGAGGAGUGCAGAGUGCAGAGCUGUUACCUGGAAGCCAUUGGGGGCCAUAUGCCCACUCAUUGCUGAUUGCAUAAAUUUCUUUCUCCUGAAUCUGAAGUUCAAGAUACUAUCACCCCAUAGGAUUCUUCAUAAAUACCUCAGCCAAGACCACCCCCCAACUUCCAACAUUUGGAUAUUUGUGACUUCCCCUAGAUAUUUCCCUUAAUGCUAUACAGAAGUAACCUGGUGAAAUGUGUGCAAUCCUCUGACUUCAGAUAACACUGCAAAUGCAAAAGGCUGGUGAUGUGUUGCAUACCUAAAACAAGCCCAGCAAUUAUAUACCUGGUGUUUGGUCAGUUAGGUUUUAUCUGAACAUCUACAAAGAUUGAGAAGCUACUGACAAGACAGGAAGUACAUGGAAAAAGUUCAGAUUUACCUUAAAUGCAAAGAAGUGGUCUGUGUAUUUUUCACCAAAGACAAAUUUAGCACCAGCAUCAGUGUAACCCAGAAAAAUCUGAUUUGAGAAAGAAAAAGAGAUCAUUAAAACCACUGAAAUGGUCGUUACAAGCCAUCGUAUCACUAGGCUCUGCAGAGGAUGAGAACCAUGUCCAAUGAAUGGCAUAGAGCUGUAUUUUUAAAUUAUGUCUGCAUAAAGAUUUUCUGUCAUAUCUGACAUUAAGUCUGACUCUAGGAUGCUAAAGAACUAGCUGAGUGUGGUAAUUUGCUCUAGCAAGCCAGAGAUAGUACACAGGUGCCACUUGUUACUACUGGAUGCAAAGGAAGCUCAUUUCUCUGUUUAGAAACCAGCUUAUAAGGGUGACAUCCCUAUGGGCAAGGUGAUGGGGGAACAGGGAAAGGGGAUGGAUGCAGUAGAGAAUAUAGGUAAGGACAGCAGUAAUCAUAAUUAACUAGACAGAUUAAUGUAUUCCACACAAACAGGUAUUUGUCUGAUUCACACUAUGGAAUUAAAAUCUGGGUCAAAUAUUACAGACUUAUAAACCUAUUUCUGAGAUGCCUCAAGGAUUACAUCCAAAUGUUAAAAGCAUCUUAAAUGUAAAGUAUUCUUUUGAAACACUUACCUGAACUUGUGUGCCCA